GACGAACGCUGGCGGCGUGCUUAACACAUGCAAGUCGAACGGAAAGGCCCUGCUUUGGUGGGGUGCUCGAGGGGCGAACGGGUGAGUAACACGUGAGUAACCUGCCCUUGACUGUGGGAUAACUUCAGGAAACUGGGGCUAAUACCGGAUAGGAGCUCCUGCCGCAUGGUGGGGGUUGGUAAGUUUCGGCGGUUGGGGAUGGACUUGCGGCUUAUCAGCUUGUUGGUGGGGUAGUGGCUUACCAAGGCUUUGACGGGUAGCCGGCCUGAGAGGGUGACCGGCCACAUUGGGACUGAGAUGCGGCCCAGCCUCCUACGGGAGGCAGCAGUGGGGAAUAUUGCACUGUGGGCGGAAGCCUGAUGCAGCAACGCCGCGUGCGGGAUGACGGCCUUCGGGUUGUAAACCGCUUUCGCCUGUGACGAAGCGUGAGUGACGGUAAUGGGUAAAGAAGCACCGGCUAACUACGUG
rnacentral:rRNA from 1 species